rnacentral:rRNA from 1 species
AACGAACGCUGGCGGCGUGCUUAACACAUGCAAGUCGAACGGGAUUGGAAGCUUGCCUCCAUGAGAGUGGCGCACGGGUGAGUAACGCGUGGAUAACCUGCCCUGGUAUCUGGAAUAACAUCUCGAAAGGGGUGCUAAUACCGGAUAAGCUCACGACUCCUUCGGGAGAUGCGAGAAAAGGUGGCCGCUGAAUAUGCUACCGUAGCAGGAUGGGUCCGGGUACCAUCAGCUAGUUGGUGGGGUAAUGGCCGACCAAGGCUACGAUGGUUAGCUGGUCUGAGAGGAUGAUCAGCCAAACUGGAACUGAGACACGGUCCAGACUCCUACGGGAGGCAGCAGUGGGGAAUUUUGCGCAGUGGGGGAAACCCUGACGCAGCAACGCCGCGUGAGUGAUGAAGGCCUUCGGGUCGUAAAGCUCUGUCAGAGGGGAAGAAGUGUAGUGUGGUUAAUACCCACAUUACUUGACGGUACCCUCAAAGGAAGCACCGGCUAACUCCGUGCCAGCCGCCGCAGUAAAAC